AAUUUUUUGUGAACCCACAGGAGAGCCGCCACAAACUCAAAUGCUCAUAAACCCUAAUUUGUAUCUCCUCACUCCCCUUCCUUCCCUAUAUAAUCCAACCCAAUUGCACUUUCUUUCCACCACCCUGCUUUCGCAGCGAUCCAAAUGUCUCUUUAGGGUUUCUUCACCACGCUUUACCGUUUCGGAUCUUGAAUUCUCACAAAGUGACGAGAUGAAAACACUGGAUGUGUUUUUUGAGCAGUGGACGUUACCGUCAGGUUUCGCCGUGAGCUUAAUUUUUAAAAACGACUUCUCCUUCUUCUGAGCACUAUAGUUAUUGAUGAAGUUUGCAUAGCAAUAACAAUUCAAGUGAUUUUGGGAAUUUGUAUGAAUGUGAAUGUUUCUUUGUUUAUGGAA